AUGUUGGACAGGGCGCGUCUGCGCCUCCGGCCGCCGCGGCUCCCGGGGCCUCCGCCUGCAGCCGGCGGCGGAACGAGGGCAGGCGGCUGAGACAGGCGAGCUAUUUGCAUUCCCCGGCAGUCAUUUUUAUAUGCGGAGGUAAUGAAGUUGUCAGCGGCGCCCCGAGUGUGGCAGAGCCUGAUAUUCAAAUCGCCCUGCCCGCUCCGCCUGCUCCCGCCCGCUGGUCCCGGGAGCCCCAGGCUGCGCGCGCCCGCACCGCAUCGCCGCUUUGCCCCGCGACCGCGCGCGCCUCCUCGUCCUCCCCCGCGCCUUUGUUUCCGUCUCCUUCUCCUUUCCCUCCUCUUUUGUGUCGGGCCAGACUCAGCCCCAGAAACCAGCCACCCUGCCGCGUCCGACUGCCAGGGAUCCCUCACGCCGCGAGGCUUGUCAUUCAUGCCUUGACACCUCUCAUUCAUCUGAGUCUGGCCUGCUGGAUAUGCAAAUGAUAGGAGGACUGAAAAUCAUAAUCCUUCAGCCGUGAUGGCGUCAACGUCACUAUUCUUGGAACAAGCCAUUUUUACCAGAGAUGUCUCCAAGAGCACCAGCAACCCCAGCUAUCUGGAUCUGAAGUGGAUAUGCUCAGAGACAUCCUGGCCCACCCCAAAGAAGAUGCUGCUGCACUCAGAAGACGCCAGAGCUAGCCACCACCCACACUGCAAGUCUGGAAGCUCUGCAAGGACCCAGCAAGGCAGCCUGCUCAGCGAAGGCUUUGUCUCCUGUGGCAGGAAGAGCAACAUUAAGAACAAGAACCCCGGGCUGGACUACCCCUGAGAUUUAAUGACCAGAGCUGAGACCCCCAAGACCACAAUGACUAUGGAGGGCUGUCAUUACCCUGCCUGACCCUCUAAUGCCUCUCAGUUCAAGGAGGCCACUGAGUGAAACUGAAGGCUGGUUUUCCUUGGAAGCCAGCGGCCCAUCCACCUGCUCCACUUCCCUGCCUCUUGCAGCCUCCGCUCAAACACUGUCGUGGCUUGGCAGCACUACAAGGCAGAGUGAAAACAGAUACUUCUACCCACAUUCCUAUCUCCUCUCAUUUACGCAGAUUAAAUGCUUUCUUUCCUUGUUUUACACUGCUAGGAUUUUCAUCACCCUGUUUUUUCUUUCUCUACAUCAGCUACAAGAAAAAAAAAAGGAGUUACUGAGCAACUAAGAAGUCACAACUGUUUUCAGUUUUAUUAAUGAGUUGUUAUACUUAUUUUAUAGAUAGAGAAUUACCAUUAUAACAUUGCUCCAUUGCCCACUCAUCCAUUCACGCAUCUGUCCAUCCGUCCAUCCACCCAUUUGUCCACUCCCCAAAUGGUCAUCAAUUGUCUACUGUGAGCCAAGCAAAGUGCUCCUUACUUUGGACUCUGAAUCCAGUGCUCUUUCUACUUCACCAUAGACACAUGCCCCUUGAGUAUAAGGGAGCUUGAUUCAUUCAACAAAUAUCUGUUGUCCAUCUCCAAUGUACUGGCAUAUUCUAAAUGCAUCCAACAAAAACCAAAAUGAAAAAAAAGAAAAACCCAUUCCUUCAAGGGGAUUGCAUUCGGACUGGGGGAGACAGAUAAAAUAAAAAUAAUGAAGUCAAAUAU
ensembl:lncRNA LINC02981 long intergenic non-protein coding RNA 2981